GACGAACGCUGGCGGCGUGCUUAACACAUGCAAGUCGAACGGAAAGGCCCUGCUUUUGUGGGGUGCUCGAGUGGCGAACGGGUGAGUAACACGUGAGUAACCUGCCCUUGACUUUGGGAUAACUUCAGGAAACUGGGGCUAAUACCGGAUAGGAGCUCCUGCUGCAUGGUGGGGGUUGGAAAGUUUCGGCGGUUGGGGAUGGACUCGCGGCUUAUCAGCUUGUUGGUGGGGUAGUGGCUUACCAAGGCUUUGACGGGUAGCCGGCCUGAGAGGGUGACCGGCCACAUUGGGACUGAGAUAAGGCCCAGACUCCUACGGGAGGCAGCAGUGGGGAAUAUUGCACAAUGGGCGGAGGCCUGAUGCAGCAACGCCGCGUGCGGGAUGACGGCCUUCGGGUUGUAAACCGCUUUCGCCUGUGACGAAGCGUGAGUGACGGUAAUGGGUAAAGAAGCACCGGCUAACUACGUG
rnacentral:rRNA from 1 species